rnacentral:rRNA from 1 species
AUUGAACGCUGGCGGCAUGCUUUACACAUGCAAGUCGAACGGUAACAGGGAGCUUGCUCCGCUGACGAGUGGCGAACGGGUGAGUAAUGCAUCGGAACAUGCCCAGUCAUGGGGGAUAACUACGCGAAAGCGUAGCUAAUACCGCAUACGCCCUGAGGGGGAAAGUGGGGGAUCUUAGGACCUCACGCAAUUGGAGCGGCCGAUGUCGGAUUAGCUUGUUGGUGGGGUAAAGGCCUACCAAGGCGACGAUCCGUAGCUGGUCUGAGAGGAUGAUCAGCCACACUGGGACUGAGACACGGCCCAGACUCCUACGGGAGGCAGCAGUGGGGAAUUUUGGACAAUGGGCGAAAGCCUGAUCCAGCCAUGCCGCGUGAGUGAAGAAGGCC